GGUGAACGCUGGCGGCGUGCCUAAUACAUGCCAGUCGAGCGAACGGACGAGAAGCUUGCUUUUCUGAUGUUAGCGGCGGACGGGUGAGUAACACGUGGAUAACCUACCUAUAAGACUGGGAUAACUUCGGGAAACCGGAGCUAAUACCGGAUAAUAUUUUGAACCGCAUGGUUCAAAAGUGAAAGACGGUCUUGCUGUCACUUAUAGAUGGAUCCGCGCUGCAUUAGCUAGUUGGUAAGGUAACGGCUUACCAAGGCAACGAUGCAUAGCCGACCUGAGAGGGUGAUCGGCCACACUGGAACUGAGACACGGUCCAGACUCCUACGGGAGGCAGCAGUAGGGAAUCUUCCGCAAUGGGCGAAAGCCUGACGGAGCAACGCCGCGUGAGUGAUGAAGGUCUUCGGAUCGUAAAACUCUGUUAUUAGGGAAGAACAUAUGUGUAAGUAACUGUGCACAUCUUGACGGUACCUAAUCAGAAAGCCACGGCUAACUACGUG
rnacentral:rRNA from 1 species